rnacentral:hammerhead_ribozyme from 1 species
AUCCAGCUGACGAAUACAAAAUAGGAUGAAACGUGCGUCCUCGAU